rnacentral:lncRNA from 1 species
UCUCUUUUCUUUCUCUUGCCUUCUCCCUCCCCCUCCUCCUGUCUCUUGUGAUCUAGUUUUGCCUUUCUUGCAGGAUAACUGGAAACUUGAUUUUAGUUUAAGAGCACAAUUAUGUCCCUAAUUGUACUUUUUUUCUGCUCAAAGAAAAAUUGGGUAAUAUUUUAAAAGUAACUUUGGUCAGGAUUAUAAGAAGAGAUGGCUAGAUCCUUUUGCUUACUAUUUAUUCCCAAACUGAACCUUUUCUUAAGACUGUAUUUUAUUCAAACACCACCAAAUGUACUAACAGCUAAUUAGGUUAUAAUGCUUCCCUACUGCUUUAGAUAUAAGUGUAAUAAUGUAGGCCUGAAUGUGAACGAUGGCGGGUGUUAGGAUUUCACGCGGUGUACCUGUGAAUGAUCCAUGUUAUUCAGUAAACGAGGGCUGUUUCAGUGACCUUCUGCACACACAGCACCGGCUCAGGUCGAGCCUGGCAGCAUUCCUUCAGCCUUUCAUCACUCAGCAAACACAAAGACACCGGCCUAAGAGGUCCACCGACUGGAAACACACCAAAAAUUAGCUUUUGCUCUCUUCCAUUUCCCUUAUAUCUUAUGAAGCAGCUCUGUUAGACAUAAAGAGAUCACUGUAUGCUGCAGCAAUAACCCAUCUGCUGGGAUGUGAUGUGGAACAGAAACAGCGCCCUGAGGCUGACAGGCUUUUGACUCGGUGGUGUUUUUUAAAAGUGUGUAGUGUUUGAAAUUAGUAACUGCCAUGCAUUGUGUGAAAAGCAGCCCUCCCAGCCUUGCCGUGCCAUAGAUUUAGACUAGUCGGAACAGGUUUGGGCAAUCAUUAACAACUUCUGUGGCCCAGUCUUCUGUGACGGCGAGUUUAAGCUGAAAACCCCAACCACAACAAGGGCUCUGCAGUGAUACUCUGGAGAGGUGGUCUCCAGGUAUGGACUUCCCCUUUCCUAUUUACUGUUAUGUUUCCAGGCAUGACUAUUCCUAGUUUUAAUCUCAACUUUGCUGCCAUGAAAACCAUGAAACUAAACUUGAAUGUGGAGGGGAAAAAGUGAAAAUUGAGGCUUUAGCUUAUACAAAAUACUGAACUUAUUGGCUCUCACUGUCAUCAGGCUGGAAGUGAAAAAGGUUUUUAUGGUAAGGUAAGAGUUUCGGGUCAAUGUAUUCCUUCAUUUACCCUUAAGGUGAGGUCCCAUUAUUGAGGUUCUCUAUAUUUGGGUGUUUAUCUCCAUCUUACGAGGCAGCAUUGGAUUUCAAUACUCUCUCUAAUACUGCCUGGUAAUGAUGAUGAUAGUCAUCUGUAGACUGCAACCACUAAGACUAACCCCUUUAGCUGAUUCAUGCUACCCAGUCUGGGCCCUGUGUUGGCUCAAAUACUUGGCAGACAUGUCUCUCAGGAUCCAUCUUACCUGACAGUGCUGGAUUGUACGACUGUUGUUCUAACACUGUCUGGUAACGAUGUUUCCUGGGGGACUCUUUGGACUCCGUUGUUUCCCUCCCAGAAAUGUUUAUGACUGUAAAAAGCUGCAAGGCGCCUUUGAUGUUGUCAUCAAGAGGUAAUAAUAAGUGGCGUUGGCUUUGUGCUCUGGAGUAAUCAGACUGCUAAACAUUCACUUUUUACUCUGAAGUUUAUUCCAGUUUUUGUUUCACUCUCAUUUGUCUUUGACGAUGUCUCCGGCCGUAUGCUGAUCGGUCGUAAAUAAGAGAAAAAGUGGCAGAGAUGGUGUAAGGUGUUGCCAGACAGGGCUUAAGUUUGUAAGAAAAUACAGAAAUGCUUAUGUCAAGGACUUUAACUUUGAAAGGAGAUUAUAACUAAAGGCCUAUUGUUCGGUAAUACUUCUAAAAUUCUGCAUAUAUUUGGUUUUAUGUACUUCCCUGUCUUUUUUCUUUUGCGUUUAUGGCAGCCUCACCACACCCAAGUUAAAGAAUAGCAGUCAGUUGAUGGUUCCACCGGUCCUGCAGGGCCUUAUUUCCUUGUUCCCUCCCCCUGAGCAGCUCUGGUCUUUGUGUUGUGUGGCAGUGAUUGGUCCAACAAGACGUACCUGCGUGGCACAUCCUGAAACUGACACAUGAGCACACCUGAGAAUGCUUUGCUUGGAAACUAGGCAAUGGACGCUUUGGCCUCCUCCCAGCUUUGUGAGCGUUUAUCUAUAAAGAGAGCAUCAAAUGAUACCUUAGAAGAGUUUCUUUAAAACAGACAAAGUAGGAGUUCAGCGUUUUUACCACAAGUCAAAAUUAAAUGUGAAUUUAAUGGCUAAAGCUGUGAGAAAGAUAUGAGUAACAAAGGCAGAUAAUAAACAUGGAGUGAGCAGAAACCUGGUGUUUGUUUAAGGAGGGAGAAUAACCCCGCAAAUACAGAGCCGCACCUUUAUUUGCCCA